UGUCCUGGUCAGAGAACGACGGCGGCAGGUACACACCAAUAGAGCGGGCAUCCCUUUGGUGUCAGCGGCAGACGGGUGAGUAACGCGUGGGAACGUGCCCUUCGGUUCGGAAUAACUCAGGGAAACUUGAGCUAAUACCGGAUACGCCCUUAUGGGGAAAGGCUUGACUGCCGAAGGAUCGGCCCGCGUCUGAUUAGCUAGUUGGUGAGGUUAUGGCUCACCAAGGCGACGAUCAGUAGCUGGUCUGAGAGGAUGAUCAGCCACACUGGGACUGAGACACGGCCCAGACUCCUACGGGAGGCAGCAGUGGGGAAUAUUGGACAAUGGGGGCAACCCUGAUCCAGCCAUGCCGCGUGAGUGAUGACGGCCUUAGGGUUGUAAAGCUCUUUUCUCCGGGACGAUAAUGACGGUACCGGAGGAAUAAGCCCCGGCUAACUUCGUGCCAGCAGCCGCGGUAAUACGAAGGGGGCUAGCGUUGCUCGGAAUCACUGGGCGUAAAGGGCGCGUAGGCGGCUGAUUUAGUCGAGGGUGAAAGCCCGUGGCUCAACCACGGAAUGGCCUUCGAUACUGAUUGGCUUGAGACCGGAAGAGGACAGCGGAACUGCGAGUGUAGAGGUGAAAUUCGUAGAUAUUCGCAAGAACACCAGUGGCGAAGGGCU
rnacentral:rRNA from 1 species